rnacentral:rRNA from 1 species
AUACGGAGGGUGCAAGCGUUAAUCGGAAUUACUGGGCGUAAAGCGUGCGUAGGCGGUUGAUUUAGUCAGAUGUGAAAGCCCCGGGCUCAACCUGGGAACUGCAUUUGAAACUGGUCAACUGGAGUAUGGUAGAGGGGGGUAGAAUUUCUGGUGUAGAGGUGAAAUGCGUAGAUAUCAGAAGGAAUUCCGAUGGCGAAGGCAGACCCGUGGACCAAUACUGACGCUGAGGUACGAAAGCGUGGGGAGCAAACAGGAUUAGAAACCCCAGUAGUCC